GAUAAAGGAUUAAUCCAUGGACUGCGCUGAUCAGUUGUCAUAACAUUAUAAACAAUUAAUAUCUCGACAGCCGAACCAUUCAUGGGUUGCUACUUGCCAUACGGCGUGUCUGGAACCUGCAAAUAUGUUUGUGAUCCUGGCGAAGAUAAAAUGUACGGCAUGCCAGACUGUGAGGGACGCAUCUGCUGUUACAAUGGCUUCGGCAAAUAAUCUCAUUUCUUGGAUGCGAAGACUUGAACCACUGAAAUGCUUAUGCUUUGACUGAAGAUCUACCGUGAAGAGAACCAUUCCUUGAGAUAUAGCUUAUAAUUACUUUUAGUCUGCUAGUAUUGCGUUAUGAGAUGUAUUGGGGCAACAUUUCGUAAAAGAAAGAAAUAAAAAGGGCCAGUCCAACGGGGAAA